GGCUUUGAAUCUGACUCACUGUUUAUAUAGUUGACAUGUGUACACUUGAGCCAAUGGAUUUGUGACAUCUGGACAUGGAGAAAAAUGGCACGGCCUUGUAAUUUUGGACCUUGAGGACCUCCCUGCAAUUUUGUAAAAUAUAGGACUGGACUGCAAUUUUAAAAACAGAACUAAAAAAUAUAAAAUUGGACAAUUUGGACUUGAAUGCAAUUUUAACAAAAUUAAGGGACUAAAAUGCAAAGUAAAAAAAAUGAAUUAAAAUUUGUAAUUUUGACCAAAC
rnacentral:lncRNA from 1 species